CAGCGCCACAAGUGGGGAUCCUGUUUAUUUGGCCUAAAGCGUCCGUAGCUGGUUUAGUAAAUCUUUUGUGAAAUCGUUAAGCUUAACUUAACGGCGUGCAGGAGAGACUGCUAAGCUAGGGACCGGGAGGAGUCAGAGGUAUGCCGGGGGGAGCGGUAAAAUGCUAUAAUCCCUAGUGGACCACCUAUGGCGAAGGCAUCUGACUAGAACGGGUCCGACAGUGAGGGACGAAAGCCAGGGGAGCAAACCGGAUUAGAUACCCGAGUAGUCC
rnacentral:rRNA from 1 species